GUUUUAAUAAUUUAAUAAUAAAAUAUUGAUCUUGUAAAUCAAAAAUAAGUGCAUUCUUUUAAAACU
rnacentral:tRNA from 1 species